rnacentral:rRNA from 1 species
CCUACGGUAGGCAGCAGUGGGGAAUAUUGGACAAUGGGGGAAACCCUUAUCCAGCGACGCCGCGUGAGGGAAGAAGGUUUUCGGAUUGUAAACCUCUGUCAGUGGGGACGAUAAUGACGGUACCCACGGAGGAAGCCACGGCUAAACACGUGCCAGCAGCCGCGGUAAUACGUAGGUGGCAAGCGUUGUCCGGAAUUACUGGGGGUAAUGGGAGCGUAGGCGGGAUGUCAAGUCAGAAGUGAAAAUUAUGGGGCUAACUCACAAACUGCUGUUGAAACUGAUAUUCUUGAGUGAAGUAGAGGCAAGCGGAAUGCCUAGUGUAGCGGUGAAAUGCGUAGAUAUUAGGAGGAACACCAGUGGCGAAGGCGGCUUGCUGGGCUUUUACUGACGCUGAGGCUCGAAAGCGUGGGUAGCAAACAGGAUUAGAUACCCGUGUAGUC